UACAGAGGUCCCAAGCGUUACUGAGAAUCACUGGGUUUAAAGGGUGCGUAGGUGGUCCGUUAAGUCAGUUGUGAAAUCCCCGGGCUCAACCCGGGAACUGCUUCUGAUACUGGCGGACUUGAGGCCAGUAGAGGUCACUGGAACUGACGGUGGAGCGGUGAAAUGCGUAGAUAUCGUCAGGAACGCCGGUGGUGAAGACGGGUGACUGGGCUGGCUCUGACACUGAGGCACGAAAGCGUAGGUAGCAAACAGG
rnacentral:rRNA from 1 species